rnacentral:rRNA from 1 species
GACGAACGCUGGCGGCGUGCUUAACACAUGCAAGUCGAACGGAAAGGCCCUGCUUUUGUGGGGUGCUCGAGUGGCGAACGGGUGAGUAACACGUGAGUAACCUGCCCUUGACUUUGGGAUAACUUCAGGAAACUGGGGCUAAUACCGGAUAGGAGCUCCUGCUGCAUGGUGGGGGUUGGAAAGUUUCGGCGGUUGGGGAUGGACUCGCGGCUUAUCAGCUUGUUGGUGGGGUAGUGGCUUACCAAGGCUUUGACGGGUAGCCGGCCUGAGAGGGUGACCGGCCACAUGGGGACUGCGAUACGGCCCAGACUCCUACGGUAGGCAGCAGUGGGGAAUAUUGCACAAUGGGCGGAAGCCUGAUGCAGCAACGCCGCGGGCGGGAUGACGGCCUUCGGGUUGUAAACCGCUUUCGCCUGUGACGAAGCGUGAGUGACGGUAAUGGGUAAAGAAGCACCGGCUAACUACGUG